rnacentral:rRNA from 1 species
GAUGAACGCUGGCGGCGUGCCUAAUACAUGCAAGUCGAGCGAUGCGGGGACGGGUGAGUAACACGUGGAUUACCUCCUAUAAGACUGGGAUCACUUCGGGAAACCGUAGCCAAACCGGAUACUUAUUGAUGGAUCCGGGCUGCAUUAGCUAGUUGGUAAGGUAACGUCUUACCAAGUCAACGAUGCAUCGCCGACCUGAGAGGGUGAUCGUCCACACUGACGCUGAGCCACGGCCCAGACUCGUACGGGAGGCAGCAGUAGGGAAACUUCCGCAAUGAGCGAAAGCCUGACAGAGCAACGCCGCGUGAGUGCUGAAGGUCUUCGGAGCGUGAAACUCUGUUAUUAGGGAAGCGGUACCUAACCAGAAAGCAACGGCUAACUACGUGCCAGCAGCCGCGGUAAUAC